CGAAGGGGGCGAGCGUUAUUCGGAAUCACUGGGCGUAAAGCGUGCGUAGGCUGUCUUACAAGUUGGGAGUGAAAGCCCAGGGCUCAACCCUGGAAUUGCUCUCAAAACUGUAAGACUCGAAUCUCGGAGAGGAUAGCGGAAUUUCCAGUGUAGUAGUGAAAUACGUAGAUAUUGGAAGGAACACCAGUGGCGUAAGCGGCUAUCUGGACGAGUAUUGACGCUGAGGCACGAAAGCGUGGGGAUCAAACAGGAUUAGAUACCCUGGUAGUCCACGCCGUAAACGAUGUGAGUUUGUCGCCGGGAGGUUUACCUUUCGGUGACGCAGCUAACGCGAUAAACUCACCGCCUGGGAAGUACGGCCGCAAGGUUA
rnacentral:rRNA from 1 species